GAUGAACGCUGGCGGUAUGCCUAACACAUGCAAGUCGAACGAAAUCUUCGGAUUGAGUGGCGGACGGGUGAGUAACGCGUGAGAAUCUGCCUUCAGGAUGGGGACAACAGUUAGAAAUGACUGCUAAUACCCAAUGUGCAGAGAUGUGAAAUAUUUAUAGCCUGGAGAGGAGCUCGCGUCCGAUUAGUUAGUUGGUGGGGUAAAAGCCUACCAAGGCGGCGAUCGGUAGCUGGUCUGAGAGGAUGAGCAGCCACACUGGGACUGAGACACGGCCCAGACUCCUACGGGAGGCAGCAGUGGGGAAUUUUCCGCAAUGGGCGAAAGCCUGACGGAGCAAUACCGCGUGAGGGAGGAAGGCUUUUGGGUUGUAAACCUCUUUUAUCAAGGAAGAAGAAAGUGACGGUACUUGAAGAAUAAGCAUCGGCUAACUCCGUGCCAGCCGCCGCCGUAACAC
rnacentral:rRNA from 1 species